rnacentral:rRNA from 1 species
GACGAAGGGGGCUAGCGUUGUUCGGAAUUACUGGGCGUAAAGCGCGUGUAGGCGGUUGUCCAAGUUGGAUGUGAAAGCCUUGAGCUUAACUCAAGAAAUGCAUUCAGGACUGGAUGACUAGAGGACCUGGAGAGGAUAGUGGAAUUCCCAGUGUAGUGGUGAAAUACGUAGAGAUUGGGAAGAACACCAGUGGCGAAGGCGGCUAUCUGGACGGUUUCUGACGCUAAGACGCGAAAGCGUGGGGAGCAAACAGG